UGCAGUCGAGCGGAGUGAUGGUGCUUGCACUAUCACUUAGCGGCGGACGGGUGAGUAAUGCUUAGGAAUCUGCCUAUUAGUGGGGGACAACAUUUCGAAAGGAAUGCUAAUACCGCAUACGUCCUACGGGAGAAAGCAGGGGAUCUUCGGACCUUGCGCUAAUAGAUGAGCCUAAGUCGGAUUAGCUAGUUGGUGGGGUAAAGGCCUACCAAGGCGACGAUCUGUAGCGGGUCUGAGAGGAUGAUCCGCCACACUGGGACUGAGACACGGCCCAGACUCCUACGGGAGGCAGCAGUGGGGAAUAUUGGACAAUGGGCGCAAGCCUGAUCCAGCCAUGCCGCGUGUGUGAAGAAGGCCUUAUGGUUGUAAAGCACUUUAAGCGAGGAGGAGGCUACUGAAGUUAAUACCUUCAGAUAGUGGACGUUACUCGCAGAAUAAGCACCGGCUAACUCUGUGCCAGCAGCCGCGGUAAUACAGAGGGUGCAAGCGUUAAUCGGAUUUACUGGGCGUAAAGCGCGCGUAGGCGGCUAAUUAAGUCAAAUGUGAAAUCCCCGAGCUUAACUUGGGAAUUGCAUUCGAUACUGGUUAGCUAGAGUGUGGGAGAGGAUGGUAGAAUUCCAGGUGUAGCGGUGAAAUGCGUAGAGAUCUGGAGGAAUACCGAUGGCGAAGGCAGCCAUCUGGCCUAACACUGACGCUGAGGUGCGAAAGCAUGGGGAGCAAACAGGAUUAGAUACCCUGGUAGUCCAUGCCGUAAACGAUGUCUACUAGCCGUUGGGGCCUUUGAGGCUUUAGUGGCGCAGCUAACGCGAUAAGUAGACCGCCUGGGGAGUACGGUCGCAAGACUAAAACUCAAAUGAAUUGACGGGGGCCCGCACAAGCGGUGGAGCAUGUGGUUUAAUUCGAUGCAACGCGAAGAACCUUACCUGGCCUUGACAUAGUAAGAACUUUCCAGAGAUGGAUUGGUGCCUUCGGGAACUUACAUACAGGUGCUGCAUG
rnacentral:rRNA from 1 species